rnacentral:lncRNA from 1 species
AGCUCUACCUCGAAUGUCCUCUUCUGUUGCUUGCGGAUUGGCUCCAUUCUCAUCUCCAUUGCCCAUUACUGCUGAUUUGUCUGUUAAAUGGGCUUCAUUGGCAAUCAAUGAUGGAGAUUAUGGCCGUUCUGGCUUCUGGUGAGUUCAACUCGUCUUUAUUAUUUUUGUUUAUCAUUCAGUUGGGUUGGUGAGUGGUUGUUGUAGCUUUCUUGUGAAAGUUCUUUAAAGUGGAAUAGCUUUUGUUGACUUAAUUUGGAUCUGGGUCUUAGCUGGCUAAACUCAACCUUUAGUUUGAUGGAUUUGUCCAUAACUGUGUAGAAAAAGAAUAAAGAAAUUGCUGAUAUGAGUUUUAUAGUGAUGUGCAGUAGAUUUGACAAUUGAAUCGACGAUUUUCAAAUAUCCACAUAUGCAACUUGAUUCUACUUGGUCUGCCGCUGUUAUCAUGUAAAAAAGAAAGAAAAGCCAGUUAUUCUUAUAGAAUUGAAAUAGAGUUAUCCCAGUUGGCAGUAAAUUGGAUUAUUCAUUUGUUUGCCUAUAUUGGUUCUACUAUGCUUUUUAUUUUCUUAAUGUAAAUCUACAUAUGAUAGAGUUAGGAAAUCAUCUAAGGGUUGUACACCACCACUACCCUAACAAACCCAGUCUAGUCUCACAAGUAGGGUCUGGGGAAGUUAGUGUGUACUCAAACUUUACGCGUACCUUGAAAAGAUAGAGAGACUGUUUCCGAUAGACCUUCAGCUCAGGAAAGAUAAGAAGAAAGGAGUAGCAACAAGUAGUAACACCAGCAGGCCAAUCAGAAAAUCGAAGUGAACGAAACAACUAGUGAUAACAGAAAUAUAAGAAUAAGAAAAUACAAGACUAACACUAUGUAGCACACUAAUAUCACUAAUAUGAACAAGGAAAAUAGAAAAUAGCUGGCCACCUAACCUUCUACCGAAUUCUUGAUCUCUACACCUUCCUAUCAAGGAUUAUGUCCUCGAUAAGUUGAAGUAUCACCAUGUCUUCCCUAAUCAUCUCACCUCAAUACUUUUUCGGCUUACCUCUACCUCUCCUUAGGCCCUCCAAGGCCAACCUCUCAUGCCUAUUUAUUGGGGCAUCAAUGCUUCUCCUCUUUACCUGUCCAAACUAUCUAACUCUCGCUUCAUGCAUCUUGUCCUCCACCAGAGCUAUGCCCACUUUUUCUCGAAUAUCUUCAUUCCAAAUUUUAUCCAACUUGGUAUACCCACUUACAUCUCAACAUCCUCAUUGCCGUUACCUUCAUCUUUUGGAUAUUGGGUUCUUGACUGGCCAACACUCAACUCCAUACAUGAUACAACAUAGUCGGUCUGACUACCGCUCCGUAGAACUUACUUUUAAGUUUUGAUGGCACAUUCUUAUCACACAAAACAGCGGAUGCGAGCCUCCCUUUUAUCCUCCUAAUACGAUGUGUGACAUCGUCGUCAAUCUCCCCAUUUCCCAUCACAAGUCACUUCGAUCAAUAACGAAUAAACAGGAAAUUCUAUGCAGGUUUAACUAAAAAUGAAUAGCUAUCACAUCCGCACAAUAGAUUUGUGGAAAAGAGAAAUAGCAAGCUAGAAACAUUCAAUUCUAAAAUAAAAAAAAGGAAGAUACAUUACUGUACUGUGUCUCAAAAAGAAGGAGAGAUAGAGAUGAGUAUACUCAUCAUUCGGCAUUUGUCACAUUGCAAAAACAAAUUAUUCUCAGACUCUUCAUCCAUAUGGCAAAUCAUCUAAGAUUGCGCUUAGUUGAAUCUAGAAUUUUCCAAAGAAAACAUGCUGAGGCUGCUAGAUAAUUUCCUUCCUAUAUUGAUAUUUUGAUGUAACACGAACCUCUUCUAUGAGUGCAGAAAGUUGUGUACUGUCAAAUUGUCUCACUCUUGUAUUUCCUGGCACUAAAUAUUAGUGCUGAGUAAGCUCAUAGGUACAUGAAAGGAUGUAACUAUCAAUUCUAUUUGAAAUAGCCAUUAGUUUGCUUUAUAGACAUAAUCUGUUUUAACUUAUGACGUUCUUGGUUAUAAUUUGUUCAGCAGUACGUUUAAACGUAGUUCUCUGCAAGGAAAAUACAUUAUUCCUUAUCAGAAUUUUGAAAGUAAAACGUUACUGACCACCAUUUUUACUAAAUUUAAGGGAAAUUAACUGGUAAGAAGACAUCUAUUCUCUUAAAAGAAGUGAUAGAUAUCUAAAGUGCUGGGCAUUACUGCCAUGCAAGUAUUCAUAUUCUAUGUGUCAAGUUAAGAGGUCAUUAAUAUCUUAGGUGUUGUGCAUUAAUUCCAUGAAUGAUUUAUAUAAACCAGUAGAAUCUUUCAUCUUUGGUGACAAACAAAGCAGCAGCAUGAUGAAAUAUUCCUAGGCUGAGGUAGAAAGCUCAUACGAGGUAACAUGAGGUUGCAAAAACAAGGAUACAAGGAAUAUCUAGAAAUGACUUAUAUAUUGUCACAAAGCAGCGUUCUAGCAGUGCAUUUAUAAAUUGCGAAAAGGCCUUACCUAUCUCAUGCAUAGAGUAAUUAUGAAGUUAAAGUAAUUACUGCUUGGCUUCUGCCAAUACUUCUAUCUUUAAUGAUACAUUAUCUCAGAUCUUUGGCCAUUUUAGCCUUUAUUUUAGUAUAUAAAUGAAGUAUCAGAUUUAUUUCUGCAUUGGAAUAAUAAUUUGUUUUACAUUAUCUUACAUAGGUGUGUCCUUUGAUAAUGUCAACACUCUAGAGGAAAUGUAGCCUCAAGGUAAAAAGAUAAACUGAGUUGAAUAUGAUCAUUGUUGGUGCAGACAAGGACAUAUACAGGUACCUCUUGCUUUCUAACCUCCCUCUUUUCCCUCCCUAGAAGUAUUUAAACAGGAAAAGAUGCAGUUAGCUGUUGUGUUAAUAAGCAUAGUCCUGCAUGGAAUAGGAGUAGUGUAGGUAUUGUGUUAUUAUAAAUAGGGGUACUUCUAUUAUAGUUAACAUAUCAAUAAUAUAUUUUCUCCCGUGCCUUCUCACAUGGGUACUAGAGCAGUGGUGGCGAGACAUAUCCAGGAACUAGAAUGUAGAGCCAGAAGUCAUCGUGCCUCAAUUUUCCGGCGACUUUUCAAUGUUGCCUUGCAUCAUCUCGCUCUCCGUCAGUGUUGUACAAAAUCCAAUACUACCACAAAAUCCGUCAUCGUCCGGCGGCCGAACCCCAGUGAACCUCUCCGGCAGCAGCCUCCUCACGCCGUUAGAAGCUAGGGUUCCGGCAAGCGCGUGAGCUCACGCACUGGCGAGUACGACCACUUCCGGCCAUUUUUUAAAGAAGUUUCUUCUGAACAGUUGGGCCGUCUACUAAUCCCGACCCCACCUUUACUAUUUUCGUUUUAUUCCGACCACUUUGAGUUUUUUUCGAUGAUUAUACUGAUUUUUCCGGCAGCUACAGUAAAUUUCCCGUGACUACAAUGUUUCCUUCCUCUGCUUCAGUGGAUUCUUUCUCUUAUUUGGUAAUAAUUUGCUAGACCUCUCUUCAAUCCAAUGCUUUCUUUGGGAUUUGAUGUUUUUGGGUAUAAAAACACGGGUUCUGGUAGUUCUAGUGUUAUGAUUACCCCGGAACCUUUAAUGGGAAGCUCAAACUACUUAGCUUGGGCUUCGUUUGUCGAGUUAUGGUGCAAAGGUCAAGGUAUUCAAGAUCAUCUAAUAAAAAGUCUAGCGAAGGAGAUGAAAAAGCCAUAGCACUUUGGGUGAAGAUCGAUACUUAGUUAUGUAGUAUUCUGUGGCUAUCUAUUAAUUCCACGUUGAUGGCCUUAUUUUGUCCAUUCCAGACAUAUUAUUUGAUUUGGGAAAAGACUCGCACUUUAUACUCUAAUGACAUAUUUCGUUUCUAUGAUGUGGUAUCACGGAUGACAAAUUUAAAGAAACAGGAAUUAGAUAUGUCUACUUACUUGGGACAAGUACAGGCAGUCACGGAGGAAUUUGAGAAGUUGAUACUAGAUUCUGCUAGUGUUGAAAAGCAACAAGAGCAACGACAAAAGAUGUUUCUAGUUCUUACCCUCACCAGACUUCCUAAUGAUCUUGAUUCAGUAUGUGACCAAAUUUUGGCUAGUCCAACUGUUCCCGCAGUUGAUGAAUUAUUUUUUCGAUUACUUUGCCUUGCUGGAGCACCAAGUCACCUAAUGAUCUCAUUACAGACACUUGACUCCUCUGUUCUCGCAUCCCAGACAGUAGACAAUCAGGCAUCUCAAACUAUGGAGAAUGGACGAGAAGGAGGUCGUUUUGAAAGACCUUGACCCAAGUGUUCUUAUUGUCACCAACUUGGACACACUCGUGAAUUGUGCUAUCCCUUACAUGGUCAUCCAUCCAAAAAUGCUUAUGUUGCCAGAUCGAGACAACAUGUAACUAGGGAUUUUCAUUGUUUGAAGGGGAAUAUAAUGAGUUCCUUCAGUAUCGAGCAAGUAAGCAGACAUCUCCACAAGUAGCCUCGGUUGCUCAGACUGAUACUUCAGUCGCUGAAUUCUUUUGCUUGUGUAUCCCAGUCUAGUAUUCUUGGACCAUGGGUCAUGGACCGCUUAUGAUCAUAUCUCUUGUAAUAAAUUACUUUUUUCGCAGUCUCUUCCUACUGUUACUUUAGCUAAUGAGUGUCAAACUAAAGUAAAAGGAGCUGGAUAAGCUAAUUCUCUAUCUUUUGUCAUUCUAGAUUCCGUUCUUUAUAUCCCUGACUGUUCUUUUAGUCUCGCAUCUAUUAGUCGUUUAACUCGUGCCCUCCAUUGUGGUAUAUAUUUAUUGAUAAUUCUUUUAUUAUGCAGGACCGCAGUACGAGACAGACAAUUGGCACAAGGCAUGAAUCAAAAGGCCUUUACGACCUUAACUCACUCAAUCCUUCCACAACAUGUGUAGUUACAGAUCCUCCAGACCUACUUCACAUACGUUUAAGAUAUUCGAGUUUAUCCAAGCUUCAAAAGAUGAUGCCUAGUUUAUCUAAUUUGGCUACAUUAGAUUUUGAGUCGUGUCAUCUUGGGAAACAUACCCGAGCCUCCUUUCCGCGUAGUGUUGAGAGUCAUGAAGAGUUUGUUUUCUCUUUGCUGAAAAACCACUUUUUUUAAGUCAAUCUAAACGGGCUCUUAUCCUCUCAGUUUCAGCAGUUUAUUACUUCCCAAAGAAUUAUUUAUCAGAUAUCUUAUACCCCUCAACAAAUUGGGGUUGCAAAGAGAAAGAAUAGACACCUUAUUGAGGCUGCUCGCACAUUGUUCAUUGAAUCUCGUAUUCCAUUGCGUUUUUGGGGCGAUUCAGUUCUUACAAUUUGUUAUUUGAUUAAUCAGAUGUCUUCAUCUCUCAUCCAAGAUCAGAUUCCGCAUUCAGUGUUGUUUCCGCAGUUCCCCUUAUACUCUUCCCUAUCGUGUUUUUGUGAGCAUAUGUUUCGUUUAUAAUUUUGCCCCUGAGAAAGAUAAAUUAGCUCCUCGUGUCUUCCUUGGUUAUUCUCGUGUUCAGAAGGUAUAUCGUUGUUAUUCACCUUAUCUUCGUUGGUACCUUAUGUCAACUGACAUCACAUUUAUUGAGUCUAAACCUUUCUUUACCUUUUCUGACCACCAUAAUAUAUAUGAGGAAUUACAUAUACCAACUUUUGAGGAGUUUACUGUAGCUCCUCCUCUACCUUCAGCCACAGAAGUCUUAUUGAUACCAACCGUUGAGGAGUCUGGUGUUGCUCCUCCUAGAUCCCCAGCCACAGGAACACGGAUUUUGACUUAUCAUCGUCGUCCACACCCAGUAUCAGGCUCAGUUGAUUCUCGUCCUGCACCUGACCCUGCUCCUACUGUAGACUUGUCUCUUCCUAGUACACCGAUUGCACUUCGGAAAGGUAUACGGUCCACACUUAAUCCUAAUCCCCAUUAUGUUGGUUUAAGUUACCAUCGUCUGUCAUCAUCCCAUUGUGCAUUUGUAUCAUCUUUGUCAUCUGUUUCCAUCUCUAAGUCUACAAGUGAAGCACUGUCUUAUCCAAGGUGGCGACAUGCUAUGGUUGAAACCAGAAGCUGAAAUACUUAAGUUACAGACUUUUAGCAUAAGCACACUAAAAAUGAGUAUUCGUGUGUAUUGGUACUCAACCUACUGUUGGCUUGAGCAUUACCUUGUUUUGGCUUGAUGUUCGUAGAUGCAGUCAGAAUGGGAGAAAUAGAAAAAUAGUUAGAUUUACAAGUGGUUAUUUAAAAAUAGCCACAGCUGAAAUUUAGCCACUUUUCAUGUAAAGAUAAAUUUGAAUGAAAACACUGUUCAAAAUCCGAAAAAAUACUCCAGCAUAAUAUACUGAAGUUCCAAUAUAAUAUACUGGUCUAGCAUAAUAUACUGGAGUUUGGAGCACCGGUGCUCCAGUCUUCAGUAUAUUAUACUGGAGCCAGCAAAGUAUACCUGUCCAUCAUAGUAUGCUGGAAGUUCAUACAUAGGUGCACCGAACUCUAGUAUGUCAUGGUGGACCGGUCUCUGUUGCAGUAAAAUAGUGGCUAUUUUUCAUUGACUUGGUAAACGGUGGCUAUUUUUGAAUGACCAGUCCGAAAAAUGACUAGACCGUACUAUUUUAACGUCAGAAUAGUUACUACAGCAGUUCCUUGAGGGUGUUUCCUCCUCUCUUACAGUAAAUUUAGGAGCGGGAUCUGACUAUAAAAAAUGUGCAAAAGCAUCUCUUUGGUUGCCCCAUAUUUGUAGUACGCCAAUCUUUGUAUCACAUUGAGCCACCAUCAGUUUACUUUGGACGAAUUUUGUUGACGUUGUAUGCUGUGGGUGUCAACAGAGAAACAACCCUCCUCUUAACAUAGUGCAGAAUAUUGUGAAAUCCUGUGCAUUGUAAUUUUGACUGCUUGCUGUUAUAAGUUAAAGGUCAUUGCUAAUUGUAUUGAAUUUAAUAGGUUAAUAAUGUGUAACUGAUUGGUAUACUGAUCCCAGCUUUACUUCCUUUGUCUUCGAUCUAUUACGAGGAUCAAAGAUUUGUUUUUCACUACCCAAAAUAUGUACUAUUGCCUUGGCAGUCAGUAGUAUCUGAUUUUGUUAACGUUAGCUGAUAGCUUUUGUUUGUUAGUGCAUAAUCAUUCCUUUUAUUUACUGGUUGUGACAAGAGGGGUUGCUCUGAUGGUAAGCAACCCCCACUUCCAAUCGAGAGGUUGUGAGUUNNNNNNNNNNNNNNNNNNNNNNNNNNNNNNNNNNNNNNNNNNNNNNNNNNNNNNNNNNNNNNNNNNNNNNNNNNNNNNNNNNNNNNNNNNNNNNNNNNNNNNNNNNNNNNNNNNNNNNNNNNNNNNNNNNNNNNNNNNNNNNNNNNNNNNNNNNNNNNNNNNNNNNNNNNNNNNNNNNNNNNNNNNNNNNNNNNNNNNNNNNNNNNNNNNNNNNNNNNNNNNNNNNNNNNNNNNNNNNNNNNNNNNNNNNNNNNNNNNNNNNNNNNNNNNNNNNACCUCUCUACCCAAGGGUAGGGGUAAGGUCUGCGUACACACUACCCUCCCCAGACCCCACUAAGUGGGAUUAUACUGGGUUGUUAUUGUUGUUGUAUUUACUGGUCGUGGGAUAGUUACCUAAUUCUACUUUCGGGGUGUCUUCUUCCCUUGGUGCAUUUAGUAUUUUUUUACUAAGUUUCAUAUUCAUUUUGCAAUGCAUGUUCCAGCUGAAUCUUUCUUACAGGUCAUUGUCUCUUUAUGCUCUUUGAAUGUCUCUGAAAUUGAUAAAAAGAAUAUUGUAAAUGAUUUGUAUUAAUCAAUCAACCUAUGACGUUACUACCGUACUACUGGAUUUUGUAUUACAAAAGGUGUCAAGUAUUGGAAUUAAACUAACAGAUUCUAGAGACUAAAUAAAAGUAGUCCUGUUAGAACAUUACGCAGAAAGUGAGAGAAGUUCAACAAAUAUAAGAUAAACAAACAUUUACAUAAACGAAUGACUCCUCAAAUUGAAGAGGACUACUAUACAUGUACUGAUGUACACGAUCUCAGGAUUACGCUCAGUGUGUUGUUUCCCUCACUAAUAUGUUCUUCCAUAAAUCCAUUUUUAUGUCAAGCGUAGUAAUAUAUCCUCAUUGAAGGACUUUAAAUUUGAGAUUAUUUCGAGGAUUUGUAAAGUAAAAUUCGUACUUGAAAGGGACCCUUGGAGUAAAUGUAAAGUUGCCUUUGUAUGACCUAUAGGUUGUGGGUUCGAGUUGUGAAAUGAACCAUUGAUACUUGUAUCAGGAUAGGGUGCUUACAUCACACUCCCUUAGGAUGCGGCUUUUCCUCAGACUCUGCAUGAAUGCAAGAUGUUUCGUGCAUCGAGCUGUCCUUUUUUUAGAUGCAAAAUACGUACUUGAUCGAUCACUAAAUCAAAUUUCUGCAAAGUUUAGAACACAGAUGAAUACUACACGGACAAAUAAAUCAAAACAAUUGAAAAGGAUAGAACUACAUAAUUUAGAGUCUUUAUGCAUAUUGAAGCAUUUGUAAAGAAAAGUGAGUAUUCACACGUACAUAAACAAAAGAUAAAUAGCGCAUCAUCUUGUAACUCCGAAGUUAGCAAAAAAGGUACUUUAAUAUAAUUAAAUGUAAAGAAACUUCUGUAUUAACUUUAACUCAUAAACAGUACAACAGAGUGUUUUAGUUCUUUUAACCAAAUCAUAGCUGAGAUCGAAUGAAAGAUGUGUAAAUAUCACAUGCACGGUUGAAGUACUUAGGAUUAUUGAGGACAUGGCCCUUGACAGGGAACUGUGGAGGUCGAGUAUUAAGGUUAUAGGUUAGGGAAAGUUGUUGAUAUUUAUACAAUGCAAUAGAGUGAGACUAGACAGUUAGGACUUAGUCAUAGGAUGUUACUGCUCAGAUACUGACGCAGGGCGUGAUCGGGUAGAUAUUAUUAUACCUUGCAUCCUUUCCGUAUUUUCUUAGAUUUCAUAUAUUGCUGUUAGUUGUGUUACUUUAUGUUAUGUAUAUUAUUUUAUGUUAUUGUAUUAUGAGUUUAUUGAUAGUGCUAAUAUAUCUCCUCUUGUUUCUUUCUUGAGCCGAGGGUCUCCUGGAAACAGCCUCUCUGCCCCUCGGGGUAGGGGUAAGGUCUGCAUAUAUAUUACCCUCCCCAGACCCUACUUGUGAGAUCAUAUUAUGAGUUUAUUGAUAGUACUAAUAUAUCUUCUCUUGUUGCUUUCUUGAGCCGAGGGUCUCCUGGAAACAGCCUCUCUGCCCCUCGGGAUAGAGGUAAGGUCUGCGUACAUAUUACCCUCCCCAAACCCCACUUGUGGGAUCAUACUGGGACGUUGUUGUUGUUGUUGUUGUAAAGUGCAUAGUCUGUUAGUUACACACAUACAAAACAAUAACAACAACUACUCUCACUCCCGAACAAAUUGGGAUCGGUAAUAUGAAUCAUCAUUCCUUGGAAUCAAUGCGGACUUAUGUCACGUCCUUAAUCGUUAACUAAGUACAUGUGCGGCACUUGACAACUCGCUCACGAUCUUGAAUAUACAAAGCAUCAUGGAAGAACAUAAUUGGUGUCAAAAUUGCUCGCAUUCUUGCUAUGCCAAGUUAGCCUUACUAUACUCAAGAUAUUUAAAACAAUGGUAGAAAAAACACAAGAGAAUUGUUAAAGAAGCUUUGUAUUAGAGAGAACUGGAAUUGUUUGCUUGGAGAAUUACAAAUGAAUGCCCUCCUUUAUAUACUAGUCUCUUAAGGGCUAGUAUGUAAAUAUUAAUUGCUACACAAGUCCUUAAUAUUUACAAGAUAAGGGUUUUCUCUAGAAUUCUCUACAACCUAGAAAAUUCCAAGGACUUUCCUAGCAAAUCCAUAAGGAUCUAGGGUCUUCCUAAGAAAAUGUCCAUACUUCUUUCGAAUCUUCUCACAAAUGCUAGCCUUCCUCUUAUGUAAGCUUCCACAUAACACAAAUAUAUGUCAAACGGCGCGUAUGUGGCAUGAUGAUGUGGUGAGUCAUUACACUCUCCCCACCUAAUAGUGCGAUGACCUGGGAGCAAUGCUGCUGCAUAAUCUCUCGAAUCUUAUCUUUGAAUUGCCACAAGUCUUCAUAACAUUCCCAUGCGGCCUUCUCCGGUGAUUGCCCUUUCCAAUGGACGAGGAACAUAGCGAUGGAUUUUGGCCCCUUUUUUUUGCCUGGCCUGAUAAUCCAUAAUAGCCUCAAUCUCCCGACCAUGCGAGGUGGUGAUAGUCAUUGUCGCUCGACUUGAUUGGUCCCCUACUCGAAUCAUCCUUAUCUUCAUGAUAUGGCUUAAGCAUGCUGACAUGGAAGACAAGUAGAUCUUAAGAUACGAUGGCAUGUCAAGCUUGUAUGAGAUCUUGCCUACCUUCGCGACGAUCAUAAAUAGCCCCUCAUACUUGGAAUCAGAUUCUGAUGCAUGCAUCGUAGUUCCUUGAACUCUCUUGAGUUAAACUUCACCAUGACCAUUUCCUCAACUCUAUAGUCUAUGGGACGCCGCUUACGCUCCACAAACUUCUUCAUCUUCUUAGCUGCCUUAUCCAAGUAGGACUUAGUAGUAUCAAGAUUAUCCUCCCAUCCUUUGGCCAUAUGAUAAGCCCCCAAACUCUUUCCAUCGAACACGACUUGUAAUGAAUGUGGAGUUUGUGGUUGUUGACAUGCGGCUAGCUCAAAUGGUGUUUGCCCUGUGGACUCACUCAGUUGUAAUUUAUAAGAGGAUUGGGCAAUGUCUAGGAGCCUUGCCCAAUCUUUAUGAUGCGCGCUUACAUAAUGCGUCAAGUAGCAUUCUAGUAAGGCAUUGACUCGUUCCAAUUGUCCAUCUGUCUGUGGGCGGAAACUAGUGGAAAAUAAGUGCAGCUCCAUGCCAAGUAUGCCGAACAACUCUCUCCAAAAGUUUCCAGUGAAUCCGGGGUCUAGAUCAUUGAUAAUAUGCCUUGGUAAGCUCCAAAUACUUCACCAUAUUCUUAAAGAAUAGCUUGGCAUCUUCCUUGGCUGUGCAACCUGGUUAGGCGGGCAUGAAGGUGGCAUAUUUGGAAAAUCUAUCCAUGACUACCAUAAUAGUACCAUAAUCGCAUGAAUUUGGUAGGACAGUGGUAAAGUCCAUAGUCACACUUUCCCAUGGACGCUCUGCAACUGGUAGUGGAUCCAAAAGUCCUCCGGGCUGUUGUUGCUCAACCUUGUCUUGUUGACAUACAAGACAAGUCUGCACAUAUCAUUCUAUAUCAUCUCGCAUGCAUGGCCAAUAGUAGACUAACUCAUACAAGGACCUGGUGCGACGUUGUCCUGGAUGACCAGCCCAUAUUGUGUCGUGAAUCUCCAUUAUGAUCCGCUGUCUAACGUCUCCAAACUUAGGCACGUAGACCCACUGACCCGUGGUAAGCAAUAGGCCAUCUUCUAUCCAAAAACAUCUCGUUUUGCGUUGGCUGGAUAACUCGAUAAACUGUUUGCCUGCUGGAUCAUAUUGCAUGUCUUAAUUUAUAGCCUCGCAAAUGUCCCAACUUGCUGAAGUGAUGGCAGCAAACUCGGCUUUCCGGCUCAAGGCAUCAACUACAACGUUACCUCUGCCCGGGUUGUACUCCAGCACAUAAUCAAACUCGGCCAGGAAAUCCUACCACCUAGCCUGUUUUGGUGUGAGCUUCUUUUGCGUCUGAGAGCAACUAGUAGACAUAUUGUCAGUCUUGACCACAAACCUCGACCCGAGCAAAUAAUUUUGCCAUGUACGAAAGCAAUGCAUAAUGACAGUCAUCUCCUUCUCUUGCACCAUAUAACGCCACUCCGUCUCAUUUAACUUGCGGCUCUCAAAUGCUAUGUGAUGCUUAUCCUGCAGCAAGACAUCCCCAAUGGCAAAGUCUGAGGCAUUUGUGUGCACCUCAAGUGUCUUAGAAAAGUUAGGUAAAGCCAAGACUGGCUCCUUUAUAACAGCUACCUUAAGGACUUCAAACGCCUUUUGACAAUGCUCCGUCCAAACCUAUGGCUUGUUCUUCUUUAGUAACUCGGUCAAUGGUAUGGCCUUUGCCGAGUAGCCACUGAUGAACCGGCGAUAGUAGUUAAUAAGGCCAAGGAAGGAUCUCAAUUCAGUUACCUUUAUAGGUACCUCCCUCUCAUGGAUAGCGCGUACCUUAGCCUCGUCCAUGUGUGGCUCUCCAUUUCAAAUCACAUGGCUUAAGAAAUGCACCUUUGAUUGUGUAAAUUCACAUUUCUCCCUCUUGAUGUAUAGCUCGUUGUCCCCCAAGACUUGGAAAACCUUCCUUAAGUGCUCCAUGUGCUCCUCCAAUGUAUUGCUCUAGAUGUAGUCUAGGUAGACUACCACGAACUGAUCAAGGUAGGGAUGAAAAAUCUUGUUCAUAAGGUUGAAAAACAUGGCCGGUGCAUUUGUUAAGCCGAAGGGCAUCACCAACAACUCAAAGGCUCCAUAUCUCGUCACACAUAGUUUCUUUGGCUCAUCCCCCUCCACAAUGGGAACCUGGUAGUAGCCCAUGCGUAGAUCCACCUUGGUAAAGUAAUCGGGUUCGGGUACUUAUUCUUCACCAUGACCUUAUUAAGUGCUCAAUAGUCUAUGUGCAAACGCAACAAUCCAUCCUUCUUCUUCUGGAACAAAACUAGUACGCCAAAAGGUUCCUUUGAUGGGCGAAUGUGACCUGCAUCUAGCAACUCUUUUAAUUUUUUCUUGAGCUCCUCUAGCUCGGGCGGUGCCAUAAGAUACAAGGCAAAUGCGUGUGGCUUAUCCCCUAGCUCCAACUCGAUCUUGUGAUCCACCUCUCGCCUAGGCUACAAGUGCUUAGGCAACUCGUCGAGCAUGACAUCUUUUUUCCUCAAGCAACUUCUCUAUGCGAGGCACAGUGUCUCUUGAAAACUCUUUUCUUCCUCCAGACUUGUGAUGGUUUCCACGAACGUCGGCUCCCCCUUCUUGAUCCCCUUGACAACCUGCAUAGCCGAGAGUUUUUCUUGGCUCUAUCCGUGUGGCAUAGUCACUAUUAGUACCAUGCAAUCUCCUUCUCUCUCCAUAACCAAGAGACUUUGGAGGUAGGGGUAAAUCAAAGUAUGACAAUAUCUAAAGAACUCUUGCCCCAGAAUGAUGUCAAAGAUAUCCAUACCGGUUACAGUAAAGUUUUUCAUACCUUUCCAAGUUCCCAAUUUGACACCAACUCCAUUAGCUACCCGCACGAACAUUCGAAUAUUACCAAAGCUUCUCCAAUUUUAGUUCUUAAAAUGGCAGAACCCUAAAAGUCUGAAUCAUUCGAGUUUUCCCCAAGUUCCUGAGUUCAGAGUGUGAGUCGAGCCUCGAGAUAAUGUGUUCGUCUGUUCUUGGUAAGAACAAACGUUCACAUCAUUCCGGUGCUUUAAUCGGUGUUCAAUGUGGUUUAACCCUACAUAAGUAAGUUUUUUUUCUUCUAUUGUUUGAUUUAUCUGUUAUUAAGAUUAGUUGAAUCCAUAAUAAGUAUUUUAGGUUUUGGCUUUAAGUUUUUUGAUUGUUUGUGUUAAUUCAGUAAGGUUUCUUCUCGUUCGAUUAAUUCUUCUUCGUGUUAAUUGAUUCUGUUUGUUUUAGUCUUUAAUUUUUGGUGUAAUUUUGUUCUGUUUUUCUUUGAUUGUCUAGUUUGUUUGAUUUGGUAUUUGAUUUCAAUUAGUUGAUCCAUAGAGGUUACUGCUAAUUUGAUUUUAAUCCUAUUCGUUUAUUGUUAAUUGUUAGUUUACUGAUUAUCGUAGGUUGUAAUUAGAAUUAAUGUGAUUAGUUAAAUUGAUUUAUUUUUUUAAGAUUGGUUUGGAUAUAGCUGAAUACCCCAGCCCUUGAUUAACUAACCUUGGUUAGUUUGGACUAAGGUUAACUAGUUUGAGGGUUAGCUUGGUUGGUUUGGUAAAUUUUAGAUUAAGUAAAGAGUAGUAUAGGCAUUCCUAAAUAGAGAAUAAUGCUGUAGUUGAAACUAGAACCCCCUAGACUCUUCUAGAAGAGGAUUUUAGUUUAAAUUUCAGUAACGUAGUGUUAAAACUUGAGAACCAAGUCAUAACUUUAGGGACUAACUAGCUAAAACUGAAAAUAAAAGAGGGACUAAAGGUGUGAACAAAAAUCUGAGAGGAUCCCUCAUCUUUUACCUAUAAAAGGUAGUCUAUACCGCCUUCCUUCACAAGUUUUGAACAUCCAAAAAUUUGAAUUUCAAAAUUCAAAAACCAAAUCUGUAAUCUUAGAGUUAAGAAAGUUUAUUUUAGAUCUUAGUUCUUCAAAAAACAAAAAAAACAGCACAAAAAACUCCAAAAAUUAUCGGUAUAUUGAAGUUUCCUUACAACAAUUUCAACUUCCAACUCUUAAUUUGAAUUCCUAGUUUAUCUAAGGUCCAAAAUAGCUUGAACUUUCCCGGUUUUCAGUAAUUAAGGAUUUUAAAAGUUUCUGGAGUCAACUUCGAGCUAAAUGGCCUGUUUUCUAGGUUUCGAGCUUAACGUUGAGUUGUUGAUUUCCUGUUGAAUUGCAUUUGCUAUUCUGUUGUCUGUUUGGGAUGAUUUUCACCUUUUGCUUUACUUCAAUUUCAAGUAUUCUUCAAUCCCAAAUGAUGUGUGAAGAGCUGAAUCAACAAGUGUAUUCAAAUUAUUGAAUAAAUGACAAAUCGCUCAAGAUAAUUUCAUGUUUGGUUUACUUGUGUGCAUAUUAGUUUACAUGUUAGAUUAUAAGUAGUAUUUGAAAUGUAAUGAGCCUGGGCUUUCAGUGUUAUGUAAUAACUGGACUACUUUUCCACUUCUUUCAGAAAAUGUACAAGUAAGAUCUUCAAUAGUGCUUGCCUAGCGUACCUGAUUUCUAGUCGUAAUAUUUUGUUAGUUGAAAUUUAACAGGGAAUCUAACUUGAAUUAUAAUACUAGUUAAUCAACCUCUUAUUUGAUCUUAUGAAUUGAACAUUGAAGUUAUUUGCUGGUUUAAACUUAAGAAUUUAAUUAUCUCACAUGAUUCACAUGUAAUGGACGAGUUUGCUUUCAAUUAUGCUAGUAAGAUUAUAUAUUUCAGGCCUGUUUGUGAAAUUGAUUCCUGCUAGUCUACGAAGUCCAUAUGAUAAACACUGGUAUGCUAUUAGUAUAUGAAAUGUUAUCUUCAAUUUUAAUUCGUGUUUUGUAUAAAUCAGAAUUUAAGUUCUGAUACUAGCCAUUAACAUAGUAAGUCAAGCUUCCAAAUUGGUUAGUAGUGAUGUGUGGAAAGUCUAGGCCGUAGAUUUGGGCCUAAUUUAGCCAGUCACACAAUCAAUGCUCUGAAUAUCCACAUGCCCGCCUCAAACCAUUCAUUUUCGCUAGAUUGAGGGACUGCGAAGUCUUGGGCCCAAAUCCUAGUUUUCUUUACUUUUGUAUUGGGUUCGUUUGGGGCCCAAAAUUCUGAACGAUUUGUUUAAGCAAAAGUGAAAUAGUAUUUCAUUCCCAUGGACUUCUUUGAGGCCCAACGUGCUGAAAGUCCCAUUUUACUUGUUUAAAUUUUGGGCUUAAGGCCUGAGCCUCGUUGAAUACUCCUAAUAAUAAUCGAUUUGCAUACCUAAUUAAUUGGGCCUUCUAGAGACAAUACUUAAUAGAAAAUCGUAGUUCCUUCAGGUUGGCCUUUAAAAUAAUUUGAGGUGCGCCGCGCCAAAUAAAAUCGCAAAUUGCGUGGCCCUCUUUUAUUACUUCAUUUAAAACAUAUUUAGACCUUGUGUCCCGCAAAGUUAAUAAUAUGCUAAUUGCUUUAGGUAUAGCAUUUAAUAAUAUUAACUUUUUAAACUCGGGUGCACAUUUAUUUGAUCCAAAUUCAAAUCUCAACAGUAUUAGAAUAUGUCGAAAAUUACGGGUGUAUUUAUGUGACGUGGUUUGAGACGUGUUUUAACAAUGUUGUAAAUUCCUGAAAAUUAAUUCAAAGCGGUAAGUAAUUUAAAUUGCACUUUAAAUUGAAACAUGUAUAAAAAUAAGAUAUUUAGCCAUUUAUAAUAGUUUAAGAGACUGUGCUAGAACCACGAGAUUUGGGGGUGCCUAACAUCUUCCCUUGGGCGAACUGAAUUCCUUAGUCAGAAUUUUUUGUUCGCAUACUCCAUUCGAGAAGCAUAAAUUUUCUUGAUUUGGGAUUCAAGAAAAAUCGCUGACUCUGGACUCUAAAAGACAAACCUUUCCCAAGUGGUGACUCUGAAUUAAAUAAAUAAUCCUAUUUCAAAUAAUGUCACUUAAAAUAGAAAAACUCCCUUAUACAUUAUCCUUCGGGGUAAGUGUGUAAAAAAGGAGGUGUGACAGCUCUAGCGACUCUGCUAGGGAUGCAAACCCAGAACUCUGGUUCAGGGUUUAAGAAUUCGUGCUUAGAAUAACUGUUAUACUGGGCUUAAUCUAAUUUUCCUACAUGUUCCAUUCUAAAUGUGGUAAAUGCUUUACCGCUUUGAUAUUAUCUGAAUUGUAUAUAUAAACUGUGACGAAAUCCUUCUUUUCUCAUCUUCGGGAAUGUGCUCACUGAUCGAGAUUCCCUAUUAUGUUAGUGUCAUACCUUAAAGUAAGAAACUUGCCGAAAAAGUUACUAAGCCGGAUGGACUUUUCGUUUCUGGUACGUAGCCCCCUCCUCGACUCGAGUUGUCCGCUUCGGUACACAGUCUAGAACAUAUGCCCAGGUUUUGAACCUAGAAUAACUCGACCUCAUGCCGAAUCCCUAGUUGGAACGCUUGUUUGCAUCACAUGAAUUUGACUUAGGGGACUCAACAUAGGGAUUGGGUUCGUCUAGGACAUGCAACCUGAAAUAUAAAAGACCAUCCUGAUGCAUCCUACUUAUUUUUCGUACAUUUAUUUGCUUCGGAUCUGCAUGUUGACCGGCUUGUAAAUAAUGGGAGAAAUCUGGAAAAAGAAAAGGAAAAGGAAUAAUAGUGUUAGGGUUGAGUGAGUUGGUCACCUGUUUUGAAAAUUCAAUGCCCAAAUGGUACUGAAACUCUGUCGGAUUUUUUUAGAAAACGAAAGAAAAGAAAGUGUCUUCAAAAAUAGUUGGUUUUGUCAAAAUUGAUUGAACUACGCCAGUUUGAUUCUCACCGGAUGUGGGAUACGUAGGCAAACCCCCAUCGGAUCCAACUUUCCUUUUGCAAAAAUUGCCAAAAAAUAACAAAAGGUUUAGUUUUUGUCACAAAUAAGUCGGGUGAUGCCAUUCUUGUUUAAACAAGCCGAAUAUCCCCAAAAGGGCGUUAGAAGGUUGUUUUUUGCAAGAAUAGCUACCUUGGAUCAUAUUCAACGGUUAGCAGGCACAACCUCAAAAUCUUCUUCCCCGAAGUGUAAAAGACCGUAUCAUCAAAGCCAGGAUUUUUAUUUUGAAAUAAAAGUUUAAGAAAAAUUGAAAAUUCCGAAAAUUGUUUGUUUACUUUUUGCGUUUAUUUUCACGAACUAUGCUUGGUUCUAUUCAUGAGGGUCAAGAUAUCUAGGCAAGCUCCAUAAGAUUCAAUCAUAGCUCGAAGAGAAAAAAAAGGAGGGAAUAAAAUAAAAGAAAAACAAGAGAGGAAAAGAAAUAAAAAGAGAAAAAAUAAGAAAGCAAAAGAAAAGAAUGAUGGCAAGAAAAAAGGCAAAGUCGCGAAUGAAAUAAAAGAGAAGAGAAAGAGAAACGAAAAAUGUGAAAAAUGAGAAAAAGAAAGAAAAAAAGAGAGUGGAAAUCAAAGGGAUGAGGAAAGCCGGGAUGACGCAUGCAACCGUGGCAAACAUGUGGAAACCCAUUUAACUGUAUAGGUGCAUCACGCUCCAACAUGCAAUUACCUAUAUGUUAUGUGUCUCAAACUAACCAUUGUUGCUGUCACACUCUAGUCCAGAUUUUAUUAGAAACAGUGGUUGGUUUUCGUGGUAAACUGGAUUCACAUACCUAUUUUACCAGAUCAAAAGGUAGCACGGAAAUGUCGUCAGAAAUGACCUUGCCAGCAAUUCCCAUAUCGGAAGAUAGCCCAAUCUCGGGCAUCCCGGCCUCAGAGACUGCAGCGCUGAGGGAAAUAGGAUCCUCCAUCUCCGAGUCAUGGAGAUGUGGGAUUCAUGGACAAACGGAAGGGAGCCUCCGGUUGCCAUCCUUGAUUUCCCGAGCUCUUCCCUAGGUCAGGGGGUACAUCCAAUAUUCCCAUCAGUCAUCCAAACAUCUCAUUGGGACAACCUACCAUACCGACUCAUUUUGUUGGAGCACCUUCUGAGGUCCACCCCCAGGUGUUCAUAUUUGGAACAGUCCCCAAUAUCAUUACUGCUCUUCCAUGUAUGGCCACAACACAGACUGCGCUGCCUAGAACCACUUUUGAUCCUCGGCCUUUACAUUCCAAAAACCACUUAGCUUCCUCAGUACCCUACCUACACUUAUUCUCAGCCAUCCCCAUGUGAUUUCAUAACGGGACAGGACAAAACUCCCAAGAAUCCAGAACAGGAUGAAAUAGCAAAAAGAUGAGAACCCUCGAGCAGAGCCUCAAAGACAUACUGGGUCUGAUUGGGCAGAAAAGUGUGUCAUAAACUGAUCUAUACAUAUUCCCUCACGUGCAUUUGCCCACAGGAUUCAAAACUCUGAAUUUCAAAAAACACGAUGUUCAUGGUGAUCCUAUUGCUCAUCUUAAGAAGUACCGCAAUCAAUUGUGUGGGGCUGGCGGAAAUGAGGAAUUGUUAAUGGCCUACUUUGGAGAAAUCUUGGUAGGUAUCGCUUCAGAAUGGUACAUGGAUCAGGAUAUUUCUUGUUGGCACAUCUGGGACGGUCUCGUAAGAGACUUUGUUAGACAGUUCUAAUACAAUAUAGAGAUUUCUCCGGACCAGAACUUGUUGCCAAAUCUAUAAAAGAAAUCCUCUGAAAGUUUUAGGGAAUAUGCAAUCAAAUGGCGUGAACAUGCGUCAAAGGUAAAGCCUCCAAUGGAUGAGGUGGAAAUUGUCACGGUAUUUCUUCAAGAUCAGGAGGCUGAUUAUUUUUAGAAUAUGAUGUCAGCUAUGGGCAAACUGUUUGUAGAGGCUAUUAAAGUUGGUGAAAUGGUGUAGAAUGGACUAAAACGGACAGAAUUCUGAGCCAAUCGGCUAUUAAAGCAACCUCCUAUGCCAUCCAAAGCGGGUCUAGAGGAAUGGAAAAUGGUAAGAAGAAAGAAGAAACAUCUAUGGCCGCUUCGAGUGCCAGAAGACAUCACACUCCUAGACCCAUGUUUGCAGAAAGAACCUCUCAGCACUAUUACCCUCAUCAAGACGUGGCCUAUGCUCUUCAACCGUAUGUGGUCAUGAAUGCUCAACCUUUUGUACGACCGCAACAAUAUGCCAAUAGAAACUAAGAUCCAUUUCAAAGAAACCAUCCUUCUUACCCAAACCACUAUAACCCACGUCCUCCACAAAAUAACUUCUGUCCUUCACAAAAUAAGUUCCAUCCUCGGGAACCACCCUAGAGACCAAACUUUACACCAAUCGGUGAAUCCAACUCCAGUCUGUUCCCUAAGCUUGUUCAAAUGAAUUUGCUGCAUCCCAUACCUCCAAACAAGGAAAACCCGGAAUCACCCUCCUUUCAGCGGGGCGUCUGAUAUGCUUAUCAUUUAGGAGCUAAGGGGAACGAUAUAGAAAAUUGUUGGACGUUAAAAAGAGCCAUGGAAGAUUUGAUAGAGCAAGGAAAGAUAGUGCUAAGGGAUGAGUAUGUCCCCAUUGUGACGAAUAACCCACUGUCAGCCCACAACAAUGGUGCAGUAAUUGGAAUAAUGUGCGAAGAUAAAGAAUUUGACUCGGCACUAAAGGCCAUAAUUUCUAGGGGUGAACAUAGACCGGGUUGGUCCGGAUUUUACAAUUACCAAACCAAACCAAUUGUGUCGGGUUAUUAAAUCUAAAGACCAAACCANNNNNNNNNNNNNNNNNNNNNNNNNNNNNNNNNNNNNNNNNNNNNNNNNNNNNNNNNNNNNNNNNNNNNNNNNNNNNNNNNNNNNNNNNNNNNNNNNNNNNNNNNNNNNNNNNNNNNNNNNNNNNNNNNNNNNNNNNNNNNNNNNNNNNNNNNNNNNNNNNNNNNNNNNNNNNNNNNNNNNNNNNNNNNNNNNNNNNNNNNNNNNNNNNNNNNNNNNNNNNNNNNNNNNNNNNNNNNNNNNNNNNNNNNNNNNNNNNNNNNNNNNNNNNACAAUAAAAAUAUAAUAAAAUUAUGUACUAUAAAUAUUGCUAAUUAAAAAGUCAUAAUAAAAAUAAACAUAAUCUAAAAGCACUAAUUCAUGCUAAACUGAUAGACUAAUAAGGGAGUAUUAAUUAUAUGCCUAAAAGCUAAGAAAAGUAAAAAUAAGUUAUGUAUUUUUAUCUAAAUUAUUGCAAAAUACAAAAUAGACAUUUAAUACAUUCCCGUUCGUAAUAUUGAAUUGAAUGUCUUUUGUUAGCAUUAGUAUUGAUUGCUAGCGUUAUUUAAUUUAUUAAUAUUAAUGGCUAUAAAACUUAUUGGAGCAUUCAAAUGUUCUAAAUCAAACCUUGAAAUAAUACCUUAAUAGAUAAAAUUAUGAAUCUUUUUAAGAAAUAUUUAUAAAUUACAUUACAAUAAGUAUAUUUAUAUAUAAAAUAUAUCUAAAAUUGCUAUAUAUGUAAUGUUGGGUUGGUUUGGUUUCGGUUUGACUUUCUUUAGUUAAAACCAAACCAACCCAAUUAUGGUCGGGUUUUUUUUCCAACACCAAACCAAGUCAAACCAAACCAUAGUCGGGUUUUUUUUCUCGGUUUGUCUCGGAUUAUCGGGUUGGUGCGGUUUAUCGGUUUUCUUUGUACACCCCUAAUAAUUUCCAUUGCUGAUGUUGAGAGAAACCCAAAAGUUACCCCGAAGCAAGAUAAAGGGGAAAAGAAGAACAAAGUCAUCAAUACGGAACCAGAAAAGAAAGAUGAAACGCGAACAAAGGCAAUGCCUCCCAAAGAGGGAAUUUUCUAGGUCCCACGGGGCCGUGAUGAAAAGUAGUUGACCUUGAGUCCACCAAAGAGAUUUGAACUAUGAAGAGGAUCCCAGAUGUACGUACCCAAGGGAGUUUAUGUUGUGAGGGGGACAAUUAAGCCAUCAUGGCCGAAUUAGCUCGUGGUUAUUGGACGUGCAGCACAAAGCCCGUGACAGAUCCUACUGAAGUGCCAUGAAAUUACCAAAAAAUAGUGGUUACAUAUAAAGGCAAAGAGAUCUCAGGGGCACCACAAGAAAACCGUCCCUUGUAGAAGUAUUCUAACAUAAAAGAAGUGAAAAACACUACCAAAAGGCGUUUCCCACCCAAGAAACCUGUAAGGGCCGAAGAGGCAGAAACUUUCUUUCAGAAAAUAAAAGCGGCCGUCUAUGAGGUUGUUGAUCAACUGCGGAAGUAUCCUGAACAAGUGUCCUUGCUUUCAUUGCUGAUGAAGUCUCCCAAACACCAGAAGGUUUUAGUGAAGACUUUGAAUGAAGCAUACGUGCCAGCUGAAACUUCGGUGGAGCAAUUAAAAAGAAUGGCGGAAAGAUUCUUCGCUAUCAAUCAGAUUUCAUUCAGUAAAAAUGACUUGCCUCCUGAAGGGGAUGCUCACAACAAGUCUUUGCACUUAACUGUAAAAUGUGAGGGAUACUAUGUGAAGCGGGUCAUGGUUGGCGGAGGUUCUGGGGUGGAAAUUUUCCCACUCUCUACAUUGCAUCGCAUUAAAAUUAACAUUGAAAGGAUUCGUCCCAACAACGUAUGCGUGCGGGCUUUCGAUGGAAUUAAAAGAUACACAAUUGGAGAAAUUGACCGGAUUUUGACCAAUGGUGGAAUUCGAGGUGAAUUUCCAAGUGGUAGACAUGGACACGUCUUAUAAUUUUCUUCUGGGAGGGCCCUAGAUCUAUGCCGUAGGAGCUGUACCCUUUACCCUCCACUAGAUGGUAAAAAUGUGAACAUGAGGACCAGGAGAUUAUGGUCCACGGAGAGGAUGAACAGUGAUCAAUCUAUUGGGACCCAUAUGUACCAUGCCUAGAAGAGAGAGAAGGCAGGGAACACAUAGUUUACCAAGCUUUUGAAGUUGUGGUGGCGGACCAACAUGAAGAGGGAAAUCUGUGCCCCUAACCUUUCUUAUCCAAUGCCUCGAUUGUGGUGGCCAAGGAAAUGAUUAGAAAUGGUUUCAAGCCAGGAAAAAGGACUCGGAAAAGCUUUGCAAGGAAUAUCUGAGCUAGUGACUCUACCUAUAACUGAAAUGUUCUUCGGGAUAGGUUUCCUGCCUACCCCAGAUGAAACGAAGUGGGCAAAUGAGAGAAAGAAAGAGGGAUUGGUCCUGCCAUAUCCACUGCCACAUCUGUAUGAGACCUUUGUUAAGCCGAAGUACAGUGAAAAGGAAGAUGAUAAGGUUUUCAUGGCUGAAGAAUUUGAGGAAAUAUGUGGGGCAAUUGGAUAAGUACUCUACGAAACCCAGAUGGUUCAGUCGGGAGUGGGCACUAGCACCGUUGAGGUGCUAUUUAUGGGACCAAACACCAAGCUUCAAAAUUGGAAGGCUACGCCAUUCCCAAGCAGGCGGGAGUACCGGUAGACCUGUCCUGCCACUUAUUCUGCACCUCGAGUUAUCCCAGGGUGUAACUCGGAUAUUUCUUUAGUUUUUGUCUUUAAAUUUCCAGAUAUAAACCCUGUUAUCUUCAAAUUUCCAAGAAAUGAAAUCAAUAUUUCAUCAUUCAUUUUUCUUUAUUCUUUCUGAUUUUGCUAUUUUUUAUUUUUCAUUUCUUUUGUUUAAUUCCAAUAAUGCGGCUUUAAAUAACAUGACAUUUUUGCGGACUUCAUUCUCAAAUGCAAUCACGCUGUCUAAUUGUGAAAUAGUGAACCAAGGACCGGAAUAUGAUGAAGAAGAGGAUUUUAGGGAAAUAAAUUGUGAACUGAAACAAGUUGAGAAUAAACCUAAGACAAAAUUGAAUGAUACAGAGCAGUUAACUUGGGGACUUCUGAAAAAAUCCGUGAAACCAAAGUAAGCACUUACACGGAUGAGAAAACUAGGGAUGCAAUAAUCCAACUCAUGUUUGAGUUUAAGGAUGUGUUUGCUUGGUCUUAUGAUGAUAUGUCAAGGAUGAGUGUUGAUCUAAUGGUUCAUAAGUUGCAAAUUUACCCUAAUUGCCCUCCAGUAUAGAAAAAAUAAAGAAAGUUCAAAACUGACAUUAGUGAUAAAAUCAAGGAAGAGAUCACGAAACAAUUGAACAUAUGGGUAAUUCGGGUGGUCAGGUAUAUACAUAGUUGGCUAAUGUGGUCCCAGUUCCAAAGAAAGAUGGGAAGACUCGGGUGUGUGUUGAUUACAGGGAUUUGAACAAGGCAGUCCUAAUGACAAUUUCCCUUUGCCCAAUAUCCAUAUCCUUGUUGAUAACCGCGCCAAGCAUGAGAAACAGUCCAUCGUGGAUUGCUAUGCAGGAUAUCACCAGGUGCUGAUGAAUGAUGAGGACGUUGAAAAGACAGCUUUCACCAUGCCUUGGGGUACACAUUGUUAUCGAGUUAUGCCGUUUGGUCUGAAGAAUGCUGGGGUGACUUAUAUGAGGUCCAUGACCAUAAUUUUCCAUGAUAUGAUGCAUCAAGAGAUAGAGGUAUAUAUAGAUGACGUAAUCAUCAAGUCUCGAACUUAGGAUGACCAUGUUCGAGAUCUGAGAAAGUUCUUCGAGCGGUUGUGAAAGUAUGAUCUGAAGCUAACCCCAGCCAGAUGUGUAUUCAGAGUCCAGUCGGGCAAAAUUCUAUGUUUCAUAAUUAGUAGGAGAGGUAUCGAGUUACACCUAACAAAAAUGAAGUCUAUCCAAGAUUUGCCUCCUCCAAGAACCAAGAAAUAUGUGAUGAACUUAUUAGGCCGAUUAAACUAUAUCAGCCGGUUCAUAGCUCAAUUGACUUCCACAUGUGAGCGUAUAUUCAAGUUACUGAAGAAAGAUGCAGCAAUCAAGUGGACAGAUGAAUGUGAAGAAGCCUUCGACAAGAUCAAAGAAGAUUUGUCAAAUUCUCCAGUCUUGGACUGGAGCUAGGGAGGCCUCUUUUCUUGUAUCUGACGGUCUUAGAAAACUCUUUUGGUUGUGUCAUUGGGAAACUCGAUGUAACUGGGAAGAAAGAACAGGCGAUCUAUUACUUGAGAAAGAAGUUCACCAGUUAUAAAGCUAAAUAUACUCUGUUGGAUGGAACCUGUUGUGCUUUGGCUAGGGUUGCUCCAAAGCUAAGACAUUAUCUGCAAGCCCACACCACUUAUCUCAUAACCAAGUUAGAUCCUUUGAUAUACAUAUUCCAGAAACCGAUGCCCACAGGGAGGUCAGAAAAAUGGCAGAUUUUGCUCACUGAAUUUGACAUAGUCUAUGUCACUCGCACGACGAUGACAGCUCAGGCUUUGGCAGAUCAUAUGGCUGAAAACCUGAUUGAUGAGGAAUACCAACCAUUGCACUUACUUCCCAAAUGAAGAGGUAAAUUCAAUAGAAGCAAACUCGGAAGAUAUUCAUGCUUGGAAAAUGUUCUUUUAUGGGGCAGUAAACGCCAAAGGGUAGGAAUUGGGGAAAUCUUGAUCUCACCCACCGGUCAGCACUACCCGGCCACCGCUAGGCUUCGAUUUUACUGCACAAAUAAUACUGCUGAGUAUGAAGCCUGUAUCAUGGGUAUGAAUAUGAAUAUUAUGGGGGAUUUAAAUUUGAUUAUCCGUCAAGCCCAAGGAUAAUGAGAAACCCGAGAUGUUAAGCUUAUUCUCUAUCGCCAAUAUGUUGAAGAUCUCAGCAAGCGGUUCAAGUCAAUAGAGUUCAGGUUUAUCCCUCGGUGUCACAAUGAACUAGCUGAUGCACUUGCUACUCUAGCCUCGAUGUUGCCCUACCCAGGAAAUGCUCACAUUGAUCCCUUAGAAAUCCAAAUCAGGGAAUACAUGGUUAUUGUAGUAUGGUUGAAGUAGAACUAAACAUCCAACCACGGUACCAUGACAUCAAAAGGUUCUUAAAAACACAAGAUUACCCCGAACAAGCUACUGGAGAUCAAAGGAGAACCAUUAGACGGCAAGCGAAUGGUUUCUUUUUGAGUGGUGAUGGCUUGUACAAAAGGGCCCCCGAUCUCAAAUUUUUAAUAUAUGUUGAUGCCGAGAAAGCUGGAAGAAUCAUGCAUGAAGUGCACACAGGAGUAUGCGAACCCCACAUGAAGGGGUACAUUUUGGCAAAGAAAAUUCUCUGAGCUGGGUAUUACUGGAUAACUAUGGAAAAUGACUGCUUUAGCUUUGUCCGGAAGUGCCAUCAGUGUCAGGUGCAUGGUGAUUUGAUUCAUGCACCUCCAACAAAACUGCAUCCCAUGUCAACACCUUGGCCAUUUGUUGCUUGGGGCAUGGAUGUUAUUGGGCCGAGCGAACCGAAAGCCUUAAAUGGGCAUAGAUUCAUACUGGUUGCCAUUAAUUACUUCAUGAAGUGGGUUGAAGCAAUUACUCUCAAAUCAGUCACCAAGAAGGCUGUGGUAGAUUUUGUGCAUUCUAAUUAUUAUAUAUCAUUUUGGCAUUCCUGCAACUCUCAUUACGGAUAAUGCUGCAAACCUGAAUAGUCGUUUGAUGGAAGAAGUAUGCGAACAAUUCAAAAUAAGCAUAGUAAUUCUACUUCUUAUCGGCCUAAAGCCAAUGGUGCUGUUGAGGCAGCAAACAAUAACAUCAAGAAGUUUCUGAGAAAGAUGAUUCAGAGCUCCAGAUAAUGGGAUGAAAAUCUUCCUUUUGCAUUAUUGGGGUAUCGUACUACAGUGUGCACAUCGGUAGGAGCAACCCCAUACCUGUUGGUUUAUAGAACUGAGGCUGUUAUACCCACAGAGGUAGAAAUCCCUUCGCUCUGGAUAAUCGUUGAAGUAGAGAUUGAGGAUAGCGAGUGGGUAAAGACUUGGAUGGAACAAUUGUCUUUAAUUGACGAAAAACAGAUGGCCGCAGUUUGUCACGGGCAGUUGUACGAACAAAGAAUGGCCUGCGCUUGUAACAAGAAAGUACCACCCAUGAAUUUUGAAGUGGGAAAACUGGUUUUAAGGCGUAUCCUUCCUCAUCACUAGGAGGCAAAAGGAAAGCUUGCUCCUAAAUGGAAGUGUCCAUACAUCCUUAGAAAGAUAUUACCGAGAGGAGCAUUGUAUCUGGGUGGUAUCGAAGGAAAUGAUCCCAAGGCAACCGUGAAUGCGGAUGCUGUAAAGAGGUAUUAUGUCUAAGUGUUCUGCGGUAAUUACUUCUGUGCAGUUGAGAUGAUGAAGGCUUUCAUUCCUAUUACCCAAACACUAUCAACCUUCCGCAAACCCUUUGAGCUGGUUACCAUUCUUUUUGAUUACCCUCUUUGGAACCCCAAAAUACUAUUGGAAAAAGAAGAAAAAAAAAAGAAAAGAAAAAAAGAAAAAAAAGAAAAAGAACAAAAAACAAAACAAAAUAAAAACAACAAAAACAAAUGUUUCGUGAACUGUGUUCGACUUGAUUCCGAAUGGAUACGUAGGCAGCUUCUCUUUGGGGUUCAGUCAUACCUAAACAAAAAUUCAAAUUCCUCGAAAAGUGAAACUGGGGUAGAUGUUAUAAUGAUUUGGCCAUGAGCCCACCAAAAAGGUUCCAAAGUUGUAGUUCCGUCCAAAAUUCUUUUUACCCAAACCCUUGUGCAAGUCAUUUUGAUCAGUUGGCAAACAUGUGGGAACUAAAAAACAUCAUUGUUGAAAUUUGAUGCAUUCUAAAUUGAGAGAAAUAAAAUGAGAGAGUCUUAUCGGUAAAAAUCUUUGGGCACCAUAAGGCGACGAGAGUAGGGAAAUUGAAAAUAAGAGAGUACAUUUGGUGAAAACUCGUAAAGAGCACCAUCGGGCGAUGGUAAGAAGAGAAAUGAGAGAGGUCGAUUGGUGAAAUCCUGCAAAGGGUGCCGCUGGCCGAAAGGAAGACAUAUCCUAUCACUGAAAGAGUCCUGGAAAGGGUCCAAGAUUUUGAAAUAUGAAGUAAUGAGUUAAGAGAAGUUGGGAACGUUUCUGCAGUUCAGACAUCAAGGUCAAGCAGCAUGUCAUGUCCAUUUGAGGCCAGCGUGCAACACAGAUAAGUCCUUCUCUUCCCUCAAAAGGGACGCUUCUAUUUAAAUUCAUUCUCUUGAUCUCUGUAUACUUUUUCCUUGAAUCCGUUUCGGCUUAACUCUGAUUCCGAAACUGUUACAAAGAAAAGAUGGCAGGACUAGUUGUUACUAGUCUCUCCCUCGCAAAAGAUAAAGAGAAGCACCCAGCCUUAGCAGAUGUGUUAAGCCAAUCCUGACUGGCCGUGAUUGGUAACGCUUUCAAAGACAUAACAGUGGAAAGGAAAGAAAGUCGAAGACAAAGGUCUUAAGAGCAGAAUAAAGUGAAAAGGCCAGAGCCCCAUGCGGGCAAGCUAUAUGAGAUCCUGAAAGUUGAGUCUUGUCGGUUGGAAAGAGAUUCAUCCUCAAAACCAGCAAGCACCAAAGUUCUCAACGAAAACUGGGCCGGGAUCAAGCAAUUGAGAUGAUCAAGGCCACAAAACCAACUACCAUUUCAAACUAACAAAUUGUUCUUUGUUUGGAAAGUUGAAACAAGUGUAGUUCGAAGCAACCAUGUAAGAAGCAGGUGCAACCCAAAAGGGAAAAAAAUGCACGAGCAUUGAACAUCGUUGCAGCAGGGAACCGACCAAAAAGGGAAGUUUCCCCAAAUUCUUUCAUGUUUUGCACUAAAUAAUCAAAAAGAGAAGAAGAAAAAGAAAAAGUGAAAAAGAAAAAUCCCCAAAAAUCAUGGUAGUAUAGGGCACCCAUUUUCUAGAUAUUCGUCAUAACUCGUGGACUUUCCCGGCAUAAUCCGUAGACCUUUUCACCAAAACCCGAUGACUUUCCCGGCAUAACCUGUGGACCUUUUCCGGCAUAACCUAAUGACUUUCCCGGCAUAACUCGUGGACAUUUUUCGGUAUAAUCCAAUAACUUUCUCGGCAUAACCCGUGGACCUUCCCGGCAUAACCCGUGGACUUCUCCGUCAUAACUCGAUGACUUAUCCGGCAUAAUCCGCUGACCUUCCCAGCAUAACCCGUGGACUUUUCCAGCAUAACUCGAUGAAUUUCCUGAUAAAACCCGUGGACCUUUCCGGCAUAGUCCGAUGAUUCUCCCGGCAUAACCCGUGGACCUUUCCGGCAUAGCCCGAUGACUUUCCCGGCAUAACCCGUGGAUCUUUCCGACGUAACCCAAUGACGUUUCCGGCAUAAUACGUGGACCUUUGCGGCAUAACUCGAUGACUUUCCCAACAUAACCCGUGGACCUCCCUGGCAUAACCCAAGGACCUUUUUAUUUUUCAGAAUAACCUGAUGACUUCCCGGCAUACCUGUGGACCUUUCCAUUGUAACCCGAUAACUUUCCGACAAAACCCGUGGACUUCUCCAGCAUAACCCGAUGACUUUUCCGACAUAACCUGGCCAUUUCCCAGUAUAACCUGGCUUCAUUUCCUAAGAAUACACAAUCCUGAUUUUGUCACUUAGAUAUGUGUCAUAACUAACUCACCAAAUUUUCCUAGUGAAAACUGUGGCAGAAAAAAUUCGUUUGUUUGUUAUUUUGGAUGUCUUAAGAAGGUCUGACCUCGAGGCACAAGGUUCAAGAUAACAAAUAAUCAGUCUCUAUUACGAAUAAAGAAAAGAGGAAAAUAAAGAAGAAUAAAAAAUUGAAUUCAAAAUGUCGAAGUAAACAGAGAUGCAGACCGCUCAAAAAGUGAUUGAAGUCACGAGCUCCGCCUGUUGUUUUUACACAAUGCUGAAGAAAGAAACAACACCUACAACUGGCGAGCAUCAAGAUUCAGAUCAGACAAAAUCAGCUAAGACUCAAGAUCAAGUUUUCCAGAGAAUUAUAGAUAGGAAUCUUGUAACUCAUAGUUGAUAGGCAUAGCUACCUUAGCUUUGAUUUUCUUUUUGUUGUAAUAUGGAAGUCAACAAGCGGUAGCAGCAACAGCAGUGAAAUCAUAGCUUCUGGUAGUCCCAGCUACCAACAUUUUUGCAACUGCACUGACCUAAUUCCUUUAUAGCCAAGGAUAUUUAGGUAACCUUUGAAGUAGGGUUCGGUCAGACAGUUUUCAAAAAUGCUUCUCAUGGAGUGCCAAGCAAGCAAAAAUCUCUCAUGAUUUCUCAUUUAUCUUUGCCCGAAAAUCCUUCGUGUCUCCGAGCAAAGAGGGGCAGCUGUGAGCAUGUGAUUUUUUCCUCGUUUAAUGAAUCCUAUAAAAUUUAUUAGAAUUAGGAAUUUUCUUUUAUUGUCUGAAUUUUAAGAAAUUAAUUGUAUGGUUUUGUAUUUUGUUUGCAUUUUUGUGAGCAUUAUUAAUUGAUAUAAUUUGUAAAAAAAUACAAAAUAGUACGCUUGCAUUUAGGACCUCAUUUAAGUAUUUUUAUUAGUCAAUUAAUAUUACAAAUAUACAAAAAUGGUUCUUAUGCAUUUCUACUUUUUAUUUUUUAAAAUUUGCCUUAGUUUUCUUUUAAAUUAGGAAUUAGUUAAUAUUGGUAAUUAAUUAGUAUAAUUUAAGAGUCAAUUUGAGUCUUUUAUUUUUAAUUUUGCAUUUAAUAAAAAUCAGAACACAUAUAAAAAAAGAAAGAAAGAAAGGAAAAACAAAUAAAAGGAAAAAGAAUUAAAAGAAAGUACAAAUAAGAGGGUAGGCUUACUUGUAUUUGGACCUGUUAUCAUACCAGUCCAAACAAAUUUCCCCAGACCCACAAAAUUUGACCCAAAGUCUGUCUUAUCGCAGCCAAGUUCCUAGUCUGGUCCAGACCCCUCACAUAUGAAACGACGCCAUUUCAGGGUCCUUGAAUCAUGACCGUUGGAUCUCAUCAAUCCAACGACCUGGAACUAACAAGGUUCCUGUUAUAUAAGUGUCGGAGACCUACCCGACCCCCCCAAGUCUCUCUCUCUCUCUCUUACCCCACUUUCUUCAGAGACGCUCUACCAUCCUCCGCUGGAAAUCGCCUCACGGUGGUGGCCGUUCACCAAAACUCACCAAAUUAACACCCCGAGUUACCCUCACUCUCCUCUUUCCAAACCUCAAACCCCAUCCCUCAAAUCCCAACGAAGCUUCUCAAAUAUUGAAUCAAAAUUCCGUCCAAAACACUAAAUCUCCCAAACCUAACCAAAUUAACACCACAUAGCCUCCUCAUCUCCCUCUUUAUGAAUCCAUGGUUUAUAGCCUUUAAAUAUCAUCAAAGCUUCUCGAAUUUCAUAUCUUAGAACGGCAGAAUCCUAAAAGUCUGAGUUACUUGAGUUUUCCCUUUUUUCCCGAGUCAAGAGUUUGAUUCGAGCCUCGAGAUAAUGUGUUCGUUUGUUCUUGGUGAAGAACACACGUUCGCAUUAUUUCGGUGCUUGAAUCGGCGUUCAGUGUUGUUUAACCCUACAUAAGUAAGUUUUCUAUUCUUUUAUUGUUUGAUUUAUCUGUUAUUAAGAUUAGUUUAAUCCAUAAUCAGUAUUUUAGGUUUCAGCUUUAAGUUUUUUGAUUGUUUGUGUUAAGUUAGUAAGGUUUUUCUUGUUCUAUUAAUUCUUCUUCGUGUUAAUUGAUUAUGUUUGUUUUUGUCUUUAAUUUUUGGUUUAAUUUUCUGUUUUGCUUUGAUUUUAUGGUUUUUUGAUUUGGUAUUUGAUUUUAAUUAGUUGAUCCAUAGAGGUUGCUGCUCAUUUGAUUGUAAUCCUGUUUGUUUAUUGUUAAUUGUUAGUUCACUGAUUAUCAUAGGUUGUAAUUAGAAUUAAUGUGAUUAGUUAAAUUGAUUUUUUUUAAAGAUUGGUUUUGAUAUUGCUGAAUACCCCAACCCUUGAUUAACUAACCUUGGUUAGCUUAGACUAAGAUUAACUAGUUUGGGGUUAGUUUGGUUGGUUUGAUAAAUUUCAUAUUAAGUAAAGGGCAGUAUAGGCAUUCUUAAAUAGAGAAUAAUGCUAUAGUUUAAACUAGAAUCGCCUAGACUCUUCUAGAAGAGGUUUUUAGUUUAAAUUUUAGUAACUUUGUAUUAAAACUUGAGAAACAAGUUAUAACCUUACGGACUAACUAGCUAAAAACUGGAAAUAAAAGAGGGACGAAAGGUGUGAACAAAUAUCUGAGAGGAUCCCUCAUAUUUUGCAUAUAGAAGGAAGUCUAUACUGCCUUCCUUUAUAAGUUUUGAACAUCUGAAAAUUUGAAUAUCAAAAUUCAAAAAUCAAAUCUGAAAUCUUAGAGUUAGGAAAGUUUAUUUGAGAUCUUAGUUCUUCAUAAAACCCAAAAACAACACAAAAAACUCCAAAAAUUGCCGUUCUAUUGAAGUUUCCUUACAACAAUUUCAACUUCCAACUCUUAAUUUGAAUUCCUAGCUUAUCUAAGGUCCAAAAUGACUUGAAAUUUCCUAGUUUUUAGUAAUUAAGGGUUUUAAUAGUUUCAGGAGUCAAAUUUGAGCUAAAUAUGUCUAUUCAAGUUGAUUUUGGACUAUUUUCUUGUUGUAAAAUUGCUGGGUUUAGUUGAUGUCAUUUUUGUGUUUCGAGGUUAACGUUAAAUUGCUGAUUUCCAACUGAAUUUCAUUUGCUAUUCUGCUGUCUGCUUGGGCUGAUUCUCACCUUUUACUUUACUUCAAUUCCAGCUAUUCUUCAAUCUCAAAUGAUGUGUGAAGAGCUGAAUUACCAAGUGUAUUCAAAAUAUUGAAUAAUGACAAAUCGCUCAUGAUAAUUUCAUGUUUGGUUUUCUUAUGUGCACAUUAAUUUACAUGUUAGAUUAUAUAUUAGUAGUAUUUGAAAUGUAAUGAACCCAGGAUUUCAAUGUUAUGCAAUAACUAGACUGCUUUUCCUCUUCUUUCAAAAAAUGUACAAGUAGGAUCUUCAAUAGUGCUUGCCUAGCGUAGUUGAUUUUUAGUCGUGAUAUUUUGUUAGUUGAUUUUUAGUCGUGAUAUUUUGUUAGUUGAAAUUCAACAAGGAAUGUAACUUGAAUUACAAUAUUAGUUAAUCAACAUAUUAUUUGAUCUUGUGAAUU